rnacentral:rRNA from 1 species
UGGGGAAUUUUGGACAAUGGGGGCAACCCUGAUCCAGCAAUGCCGCGUGUGUGAAGAAGGCCUUCGGGUUGUAAAGCACUUUUGUCCGGAAAGAAAACGUCGUGGUUAAUACCCGUGGCGGCUGACGGUACCGGAAGAAUAAGCACCGGCUAACUACGUGCCAGCAGCCGCGGUAAUACGUAGGGUGCAAGCGUUAAUCGGAAUUACUGGGCGUAAAGCGUGCGCAGGCGGUCCGCUAAGACAGAUGUGAAAUCCCCGGGCUUAACCUGGGAACUGCAUUUGUGACUGGCGGGCUAGAGUAUGGCAGAGGGGGGUAGAAUUCCACGUGUAGCAGUGAAAUGCGUAGAGAUGUGGAGGAAUACCGAUGGCGAAGGCAGCCCCCUGGGCCAAUACUGACGCUCAUGCACGAAAGCGUGGGGAGCAAACAGGAUUAGAUACCCUGGUAGUUCACGCCCUAAACGAUGUCAACUAGUUGUCGGGUCUUCAUUGACUUGGUAACGUAGCUAACGCGUGAAGUUGACCGCCUGGGGAGUACGGUCGCAAGAUUAAAACUCAAAGGAAUUGACGGGGUC